GUGGGGAAUCUUGCGCAAUGGGCGAAAGCCUGACGCAGCCAUGCCGCGUGAAUGAUGAAGGUCUUAGGAUUGUAAAAUUCUUUCACCGGGGACGAUAAUGACGGUACCCGGAGAAGAAGCUCCGGCUAACUUCGUGCCAGCAGCCGCGGUAAUACGAAGGGGGCUAGCGUUGCUCGGAAUUACUGGGCGUAAAGGGCGCGUAGGCGGACAGCUUAGUCAGAGGUGAAAGCCCAGGGCUCAACCUUGGAAUUGCCUUUGAUACUGGCUGUCUUGAGUUUGGGAGAGGUGAGUGGAACUCCGAGUGUAGAGGUGAAAUUCGUAGAUAUUCGGAAGAACACCAGUGGCGAAGGCGACUCACUGGCACAAUACUGACGCUGAGGCGCGAAAGCGUGGGGAGCAAACAGGAUUAGAUACCCCGGUAGUCC
rnacentral:rRNA from 1 species